UGAUGUUAGCGGCGGACGGGUGAGUAACACGUGGGUAACCUGCCUGUAAGACUGGGAUAACUCCGGGAAACCGGGGCUAAUACCGGAUGGUUGUUUGAACCGCAUGGUUCAAACAUAAAAGGUGGCUUCGGCUACCACUUACAGAUGGACCCGCGGCGCAUUAGCUAGUUGGUGAGGUAAUGGCUCACCAAGGCAACGAUGCGUAGCCGACCUGAGAGGGUGAUCGGCCACACUGGGACUGAGACACGGCCCAGACUCCUACGGGAGGCAGC
rnacentral:rRNA from 1 species